rnacentral:tRNA from 1 species
AGGAGAGAUGGCUGAGUGAUACAAAAGGGCCGC